rnacentral:rRNA from 1 species
GAGUAAGCAAUUAAGGGUGGACGGUGGAUGCCUUGACACUAAACAGCGAUGAAGGACGCGGCGUAACGGCGAUAUGCUUCGGGGAGGUGUGUAGCAACCUUUGAUCCGGAGAUUUCCGAAUGGGGAAACCUUAUAUCAUAAACUGAUAUAGCUUCAGACUUGAUCUGGAGAGCGUACCCGGCGAAGUGAAACAUCUCAGUAGCCGGUGGAAAAGAAACUAAGAAGAAUUCCCUAAGUAGCGGCGAGCGAACAGGGAUAAGCCUAAACCAGAUUUUUCGGCGCAAGCUGGAGGAACUGGGGUUGUAAGAUAGAGUACGUUUAUUAUUGAUUGGCAAUUGGCUUAUACACGUAGUCAAUUGUUAGUUAAUAAUAAGGAAAGUUAUAAAAUGAUUUGUUAGCUGAAGACUGUUGGAAAGCAGUCACCAAAGAGAGUGAAAGUCUCGUAAGCGAAAACUAAUCAUCUUUUCAGUAUUUUAUUCUUGAGUAGCUCGAGGCCAAUAAACUUUGAGUGAAUCCGGGAGUACUAUCUCCUAAGGCUAAAUAUGUUUAGUGAUCGAUAGUGAACUAGUACCGUGAGGGAAAGGUGAAAAGCAGCCCGGGAGGGCGAUGAAAUAGAACCUGAAACCGUCCACUUACAAGGAACCGGAGCCUUAAAUCAAAUUCGUAAGAAUUUGGUCGGGUGACGGUGUGCCUAUUGAAGAAUGAGCC